UGAGGAAUAUUGGUCAAUGGACGCAAGUCUGAACCAGCCAAGUAGCGUGCAGGAUGACGGCCCUAUGGGUUGUAAACUGCUUUUAUAUGGGGAUAAAGUGGGGAACGUGUUCCCUUUUGCAGGUACCAUAUGAAUAAGGACCGGCUAAUUCCGUGCCAGCAGCCGCGGUAAUACGGAAGGUUCGGGCGUUAUCCGGAUUUAUUGGGUUUAAAGGGAGCGUAGGCCGUUUGGUAAGCGUGUUGUGAAAUGUAGGAGCUCAACUUCUAGAUUGCAGCGCGAACUGUCAGACUUGAGUGCGCACAACGUAGGCGGAAUUCAUGGUGUAGCGGUGAAAUGCUUAGAUAUCAUGAAGAACUCCGAUUGCGAAGGCAGCUUACGGGAGCGCAACUGACGCUGAAGCUCGAAGGUGCGGGUAUCGAACAGGAUUAGAUACCCUGGUAAUCCGCACAGUAAACGAUGGAUGCCCGCUGUUAGCACCUAGUGUUAGCGGCUAAGCGAAAGCAUUAAGCAUCCCACCUGGGGAGUACGCCGGCAACGGUG
rnacentral:rRNA from 1 species